rnacentral:rRNA from 1 species
AUUGAACGCUGGCGGCAGGCCUAACACAUGCAAGUCGAGCGGCAGCGGAAAGUAGCUUGCUACUUUGCCGGCGAGCGGCGGACGGGUGAGUAAUGUCUGGGAAACUGCCUGAUGGAGGGGGAUAACUACUGGAAACGGUAGCUAAUACCGCAUAACGUCGCAAGACCAAAGAGGGGGACCUUCGGUCCUCCUGCCAUCAGAUGUGCCCAGAUGGGAUUAGCUAGUAGGUGGGGUAACGGCUCACCUAGGCGACGAUCCCUAGCUGGUCUGAGAGGAUGACAAGCCACACUGGAACUGAGACACGGUCCAGACUCCUACGGGAGGCAGCAGUGGGGAAUAUUGCACAAUGGGCGCAAGCCUGAUGCAGCCAUGCCGCGUGUAUGAAGAAGGCCUUCGGGUUGUAAAGUACUUUCAGCGGGGAGGAAGGUGUUGAGGUUAAUAACCUCAGCAAUUGACGUUACCCGCAGAAGAAGCACCGGCUAACUCCGUGCCAGCCGCCGCCGUAAGAC